AGGAUGAACGCUAGCUACAGGCUUAACACAUGCAAGUCGAGGGGAAACGGCAAUGAAUGCUUGCAUUUAUUGGACGUCGACCGGCGCACGGGUGAGUAUCGCGUAUCCAACCUGCCUAUUACUUGAGAAUACCCCGUUGAAAGGCGGUCUAAUACUCAAUACUUUCAUAAAUUGGCAUCAUGCUAUGAAAAAAGAUUUAUCGGUAAUAGAUGGGGAUGCGUCUGAUUAGUUAGUUGGUGAGGUAACGGCUCACCAAGGCAACGAUCAGUAGGGGUUCUGAGAGGAAGGUCCCCCACAUUGGAACUGAGACACGGUCCAAACUCCUACGGGAGGCAGCAGUGAGGAAUAUUGGUCAAUGGGCGUAAGCCUGAACCAGCCAAGUAGCGUGUAGGAAUACAGCCCUAUGGGUUUUAAACUACUUUUGUUAGGGAAUAAAGUGUGCCACGUGUUGGCAUAUUGCAUGUACCUAUCGAAUAAGGACCGGCUAAUUCCGUGCCAGCAGCCGCGGUAAUACGGAAGGUCCAGGCGUUAUCCGGAUUUAUUGGGUUUAAAGGGAGUGUAGGCUGUUAGAUAAGCGUGUUGUGAAAUAUUCUAGCUUAACUAGAAUCGUGCAGCGCGAACUGUUUAACUUGAGUUCGUUCAACGUAGGCGGAAUUUAUGGUGUAGCGGUGAAAUGCUUAGAUAUCAUAAAGAACUCCGAUUGCGAAGGCAGCUUACGGGGUCGUAACUGACGCUAAAGCUCGAAGGUGCGGGUAUCGAACAGGAUUAGAUACCCUGGUAGUCCGCACAGUAAACUAUGGAUGCCCGCUUUUGGUAUUUAAUAUAUCAGAGGCUAAGUGAAAACGUUAAGCAUCCCACCUGGGGAGUACGCCGGCAACGGUGAAACUCAAAGGAAUUGACGGGGGCCCGCACAAGCGGAGGAACAUGUGGUUUAAUUCGAUGAUACGCGAGGAACCUUACCCGGGCUUGAAUUACAUAAGUAUUUAUUAGAGACAAUAAUUUCCUUUCGGGGACUUAUGUGAAGGUGCUGCAUGGUUGUCGUCAGCUCGUGCCGUGAGGUGUCGGCUUAAGUGCCAUAACGAGCGCAACCCUUUUCCUUAGUUGCCAUCAGUAACGCUGGGCACUCUAUGGAUACUGCCACCGUAAGGUGUGAGGAAGGUGGGGAUGACGUCAAAUCAGCACGGCCCUUACGUCCGGGGCUACACACGUGUUACAAUGGUUAGUACAGAAAGUCGGUUAUCCGUAAGAAUAAUCAAAUCUAAAAAACUAAUCUCAGUUCGGACUGGGGUCUGCAACCCGACCCCACGAAGCUGGAUUCGCUAGUAAUCGCGCAUCAGCCAUGGCGCGGUGAAUACGUUCCCGGGCCUUGUACACACCGCCCGUCAAGCCAUGAAAGCUGGGGGUGCCUGAAGUCCGUGACCGCAAGGGUCGGCCUAGGGCAAAACUAGUGAUUGGGGCU
rnacentral:rRNA from 1 species